rfam:SAR92 bacterium BACL26 MAG-121220-bin70 contig02136_1_121220-bin70, whole genome shotgun sequence.
AUUUUUGAUUGAUCUAUCGGUAUUCUACCGCGCCUUUUUGCAGUUACUGCAAGGCCGGGGUACUGAGUAAACCCGUAGUAUAAGUGGAGUAAUGUGAAUGGCCCGUAUUGCCGGUGUCAACAUUCCUGAU